GGUUUGCCAAGUGCGGUCAAGGGUGUUUGGCUCCCAGCCGAAAGGUUAUUGGUUCGAAUCCCCAAUGUCAACCU